rnacentral:rRNA from 1 species
UCGGGAAUUUUGGGCAAUGGGCGAAAGCCUGACCCAGCAACGCCGCGUGAAGGAUGAAGUAUUUCGGUAUGUAAACUUCGAAAGAAUAGGAAGAAUAAAUGACGGUACUAUUUAUAAGGUCCGGCUAACUACGUGCCAGCAGCCGCGGUAAUACGUAGGGUGCAAGCGUUAAUCGGAAUUACUGGGCGUAAAGCGUGCGCAGGCGGUUAUAUAAGACAGAUGUGAAAUCCCCGGGCUCAACCUGGGACCUGCAUUUGUGACUGUAUAGCUAGAGUACGGUAGAGGGGGAUGGAAUUCCGCGUGUAGCAGUGAAAUGCGUAGAUAUGCGGAGGAACACCGAUGGCGAAGGCAAUCCCCUGGACCUGUACUGACGCUCAUGCACGAAAGCGUGGGGAGCAAACAGGAUUAGAUACCCACGUAGUCCCUGAGCGGGCUGGCAAGGCGCAU